AUGGGCAUGAAGAAUAUUAGACUAGGAUUAGGAAAUAUGAUGACUUCGAGAUCAAGAUCUGAUGCAUUUAUUCAGUCCCAUGUGUCUGACCAUGAAAGAAGAUUGAAUGACCUGAAUUAUAGAGUCAGACAAGUUAAUCUACCUCAAAUGGAAUGCAUUAAUGCUAUCAAACAAAUUAAAGCAGAAGCUUCAAACAGGGAUAAAUUAGAACACUUCACUAUGAAUUCCAGAGCUGAAGAAGAUGUUGACUUAAGGAGCCAUGAGGGAAGUGGUGAGGAAACUGAAUCAAAAGAUGAAGAAGAUGACGGUGAACAUGGUGAUGAAACUGAAUCAGAAGAUGAAGAAGGUGAGUCUGGACAAGAAGAUGAACAUGAACAAGAAGAGGAAGUUCGACAAGAACAGGAGCAAACACAUGAAGUUGUAGAGAAGACAAGAAGAGGACCUACUCACAUGAGGCGCUUCUGGAAAGAACAUGAUGUUGAUAACAAGAUCAAUUUGAAGUUCAACAGAUUUGGUCAGCCAUGUGGUUUGAAGACAUGCAAGCUGACAAAUUUUAUUGGAACCCUAGUGAAAGGAAAAGAAAUGUCCUUAGCUGCUCAAAACUGGAGCAAAGUACCAAAGUUAGAGAAAGAAAAGUUGUGGGAUUCUGUCAAGGCCUUUUUCAACAUUGAUGAGUCAUACAAAAGAUGGGUGUUGAGAUCAGCCAGUAAAAAAUGGAAAGACUUCAAGGUUGUUUUAAAGAGGAAAUAUUACAAAGCUGAUUUGUCACGGGCACGGAAUAUUCUUAAUGGUUGUGAUAAUAGAAUCCCAAUUGGACAGUGGGAGUGGCUAGUAAAACACUGGAGAACAGAAAAAGCUAAGGAAAAAUCUGAGAGAAACAAAGCCACUCGGGCAUCGCAACUCGAGGGAUGCAAGGGGACCCACACCGCUGGGUCACGAAGUUUUGCAGUUGUCCUUGAUCAAAUGGAGAUGGUAGAGGGUAGAGAAAUUGGGCGUGCCGAGCUUUACGUGGUUACGCAUACAAAAAACAAUGGAUAUCCAGUCAACCAACAAAGCGGAGUAAAAAUGGAUGACAUUAAAAAAAGGAUUCGGGAAGAUCCUUCUUUGAUUGGUGAGGAGGCCCGUGAUGGUGAUCUUUAUUCAUCAAUUUUCCCAAAAGAAAAGAAAGGAAGGCCAAGUGGCCUUGGUCUAUUAGUAGGUGGAGUCGCUUCGGAGCGCCUUGCUCAAGUUGAAGCUGAACUACAUGCUGCUAAACAAGAGAACAUGGAGCUUCGGCAUGUGGUGCAUACUCUGGUGGCAAAUCAAACUUCAAUAAUGGCCAAGAGUGAGAGAAUGCAAGAACAGUACAAUGAGCUAAAAAGUUUGAUCAUAGCUUCUAGGGGGUCUGUUGAAAUGGGAGAGAUUCCAGAAAAGGAGCUUCCAAAUAAAGAUCCUUCUAAGGACUUGGAAAACAUGAAUGACGAAGAACAAGCAACUUCACUUUCAUAUACUACCAAGGCAUCCGAGGCAAUGGCUGCUCCAAGGCAUCCAGAUAAGGUGAAGGCAACCCAACUGGAAUCAAGGAUAACAGAAUCAGCACUACCAAGUCUUGCGCCUGUGCCAAAAUUGAAGAAGACAAAGACAACUAAACAUAAGAAGCCAGGAAUAUUUCAAACACCACUCCAAAAGGGGCCAAAGGACGAAUUAAAAGAUACCAUAAAGUGUGGCAUGGAAGUUAGUUUGACGUCACCAAACAGUGCAAGUGUGGUGGCAAUGGGAACCAUCCAGAAAACUGAUAGAAAAGCUAAAGCUAUUGAUGGUCAACCACUAGCUGAUUGUGUUGAAGUACUUGUCAACAUCGUGCUCAAAGAAACAACUGAGCUGCCUCGUGCACAAGGGAAAAUAAACAGGCUAGGAAAUGCCCAAGCUAGGUGUAUUCCAUGGCCACGCAAAAAUAUUAUGCAAACAGACCGUACUACCGUGCUGCAUUCUAAGGUUUCUAGUGUUUGUAGUCAGGUGUCUUUCAACAAUAGCGAGAAUGUGGAUCCCAACAAAACAACUACUGGAACUCAGGUGACCAACCAUGAGACUGGUUGCAGUACUUCAGAAGGUGCAGUGAGUAAUACACUGAAGAGAAAGAAGGUUUCUAAAACAACAAGAAUGAAAAAAGCUACUCAAGCAAUCUCUGCUACAACCGGAAACAACAUACUUAGGAAUUCGGGCAGGGAAACAUGA
rnacentral:rRNA from 1 species